GACGAACGCUGGCGGCGUGCUUAACACAUGCAAGUCGAACGAAGUGGCGAACGGGUGAGUAAUACGUGAGUAACCUGCCCUCCUUUAUGGGAUAAGCCUUGGAAACGGGGUCUAAUACCGAAUAAAGGGGGAUGGGCUCGCGGCCUAUCAGCUUGUUGGUGGGGUGAUGGCCUACCAAGGCGGUGACGGGUAGCCGGCAUGAGAGGGUGACCGGCCACCUUGGAACUGAGAUACGGCCCAGACUCCUGCCGGAGGCAGCAGUGGGGGAUAUUGCACAAUGGGCGAAAGCCUGCUGCAGCGACGCCGCGUGAGGGAUGAAGGCUUUCGGGUUGUAAUCCUCUUGCGCGAUCGAACGGGUAGGUGUAGAAGAAGCGCCGGCUAACUACGUGCCAGCAGCCGCGGUAAUAC
rnacentral:rRNA from 1 species